CUAUAUUGGGCCUGUCGGGAAACCGACUAUGGCGAUAAAUGGUGCGCGGAAUAGGCGUAGCGGACCCGGGGGCAGUGCCCGGCGCCUCCACCAAAUUUCCAGGGCCUCCGGGCCCCGGCCGAUGGGGGCGAACCAGGAUCGACGCGCGUAGUAAAGGCGUUUGCUUUUGCCCGGCAUGAUACCGCCGUUAUCGGGUCAAUUCCUAAGUGCGAAUGACAACAAGGUCGCACUCGCUGCCUAACCGGUAAGCGCGGUUCGGGGGGCACCGGGCAACAGAAGCCCCCCACUGAAUUCGGGCGUUCCGCGCGGGAUCGCCCGUGGUGAAGCAGCCA
rnacentral:tmRNA from 1 species